UUUGAAGACGCGCUCUCAUUGCCGCUGAGCACUCAAUGUUUACCGGAAGAUUUCUCAUGAUGCAUAGUGUGAAAAGCGGUCAGCCGCAGGCUGCCGUCGUCCAUCAUCGGCGCAGAACAAAUAAAAUGACCACCACCCGCGUCGGGUGUGGGUGCUCUUCAGGUUUUUUUUGACAGGAAAACAUGCGGAAGUGGUUGCCAAAGAGUGAAAAGAGUCUCUUCUGUGAAGAUCAAAUAGGUGAUGAUC
ensembl:ncRNA M03E7.8 ncRNA